rnacentral:lncRNA from 1 species
GUGUGAGCGGGCAGGGAAAAGGGGAGGAGGGGAAAGGGGAAGAGGGGGAGGCAACUGAACUACGUUUCCCAGAAAGCCUUGCCUCAUCCUGGCCCCUUUUUCCUCUAGGAUUUUGGGCGGGUUGAUAUGGAAACGAAGAGGGCGAGGCCUGUGGAAGUCGGGGUUCUUUGCAUGCGCUCUACGACGUCACUUCCUUUUCUUGCUCUGUGACCUUGUUCUGCUUCGGAGGUGUGUGCGGAAGGGGUCAGAGCUCUGCCUUUGGAAGCUUCUGUUCGCCCCCAACAGGUGUGAGCUCAGCCAGACUCUAUGGCCCUCCUGGUCCUCAAGGCUAAGACCCACCAGCUGAGGAGACGGUCAUUGGGUCUGGAGUCUGUGACAUUCCAAGACGUGGCCGUGACCUUCACCCCUGAGGAGUGGGAGCAACUGGGCCCUCCUCAGAAGGCCCUGUACAGGGAGGUGAUGCUGGAGAACUAUGGGAACCUGGUGUGCCUGGGUGAGGAUGGCUGCCUCUGGGACCCGGGUCGAGCCCGUGGGAGGGUGGGCUUCCUCUCUUCCAUACAGUAAAUGCUGAGGGCUAUGUGGGUGUUGAGUGGUUGUCAUUUGGCAUGUGGAGAUUCCCAGUCCAUUUGUGUCCACCAGGUGGGGCGCUAGUGCUGCCCGAUCCUGGGGGAGAGGCUUUUGUGAGGCUGGACAUUGGCAGCCUGAGAGCAUCUCUCCUACUCUCCUCCCUCAGGCCCCACGUUGUCCCCUAGAGUCCCGGAGCAGGUCCUCCGGGCAGAGGUUUCUACUUGGCAGGGAGAGGUCAGAGGAAGGCCCUCUGUGAUGGGUCAUUCUCCCCCACUGCUACGAACAGAGCCCCAGAAGCAGUCGAACAGGUGAGUGCCUGAAAGCCAGGGAUAUGAGGAGGCCCUGUGGGUGGGAGCUUUGCAAAGUGUUGGCUUGGGAGCUGUCCAAGGUCCCCAGGCUUGUGAGGAAGGACUGAGGCUUCUUCCUUCCCCUUAGCAGGUCAGUCCCCUGACUUGGUGAGGGUCAGUCCCUGGCCCUGGAGGGGCUGUGCUUAUAGAGGACAUUACCCGA